rfam:Staphylococcus prophage phiPV83 proviral DNA, complete sequence.
GUGAUUAUGGUAAUAUACAAAAGUGAGCAAGUUGGAUAGAUGGUGGCUAUCUGAGUAUAAGGAGGUGGUGCCUAUGGUGGCAUUACUGAAAUCUUUAGAAAGGAGACGCCUUUGUGGUAUCUGUUGUUGAUGCACUAAAUUUAAUGUUUAGUUUCGGUAUGUUUAUCGUUGCUUUACUUGGUUUAGU